rnacentral:rRNA from 1 species
GAUGAACGCUGGCGGCGUGCUUAACACAUGCAAGUCGAACGAUGAAGCCCAGCUUGCUGGGUGGAUUAGUGGCGAACGGGUGAGUAACACGUGAGUAACCUGCCCUUAACUCUGGGAUAAGCCUGGGAAACUGGGUCUAAUACCGGAUAGGAGCGUCCACCGCAUGGUGGGUGUUGGAAAGAUUUAUCGGUUUUGGAUGGACUCGCGGCCUAUCAGCUUGUUGGUGAGGUAAUGGCUCACCAAGGCGACGACGGGUAGCCGGCCUGAGAGGGUGACCGGCCACACUGGGACUGAGACACGGCCCAGACUCCUACGGGAGGCAGCAGUGGGGAAUAUUGCACAAUGGGCGCAAGCCUGAUGCAGCGACGCCGCGUGAGGGAUGACGGCCUUCGGGUUGUAAACCGCUUUCGCCUGUGACGAAGCGUGAGUGACGGUAAUGGGUAAAGAAGCACCGGCUAACUACGUG